rnacentral:rRNA from 1 species
CGCCUCUUGACUAAGCAUAAGAGGUCCAGCCUGCCCAGUGAUAACAUUCAACGGCCGCGGUAUUCUGACCGUGCGAAGGUAGCAUAAUCACUUGUUCUCUAAAUAAGGACUAGUAUCAACGGCAUCACGAGGGCUAUACUGUCUCCCCUCUCCAAUCAGUGAAACUGAUCCCCCCGUGAAGAAGCGGGGAUUUAAUUAUAAGACGAGAAGACCCCAUGGAGCUUUAAACCCAAUAUACACCCCCUCGCUAAGACAUCAACUAAGCCUGGAGGGCCUGUACGUUGGUUUUAGGCUGGGGGGACCACGGAGUAAAAUCAAACCUCCACAACAAAUGGGCUAAAACCCUUAUCCACGAUUUACAGAUCCAAGAAUCAUCAAAAUGAUGUUUAAUGACCCGAUAACUCGAUCAAUGAACCAAGUUACCCUGGGGAUAACAGCGCAAUCCACUCCAAGAGCCCAUAUCGACAAGUGGGUUUACGACCUCGAUGUUGGAUCAGGGUAUCCCAGUGGUGCAGCCGCUACUAAAGGUUCGUUUGUUCAACGAUUAAAACCCU